CUGAAACUUAAAGAAAAUGACGGAAUGGCACCACCAGGAGUGGAGCCUGCGGCUUAAUUUAACUCAACACGGGAAAACUCACCCGGCCCCACCGUAAGGAUUGACAGAUUGAAAGCUCUUUCUCGAUUUGGUGGUUGGUGGUGCAUGGCCGUUCUUAGUUGGUAGUGGCUGGAUUGAUUUUCUCUCGAAUAUGUUCAGUCUACUACUUAGAGGGAUAAGCGGUGUUUAGCCGCACGAGAUUGAGCGAUAACAGGUCUGUGAUGCCCUUAGAUGUUCGGGGCUGCACGCGCGCUACAAUGAAAGAAACAGCUGGCUUGUCCAUUACCGAAAGGUAUUGGUAAACCGUUGAAUAUCUUCCGUGACCGGGAUAAGGAAUUGUAAUUAUUCCUUUUGAACGAGGAAUUCCUAGUAAGUGUGAGUCAUCAGCUCGCGCUGAUUACGUCCCUGCCAUUUAUACACACCGCCCGUCGCUGUCCGGGACUGAGCUUUCUCGAGAGGACUGCGGACUGCUAUAUCGUGAUUUCUUUGAUCGCGAUAUUGUGGGAAACAGUUCAAUCGCAAUGGCUUGAACCGGGUAAAAGUCGUAACAAGGUAUCUGUAGGUGAACCUGCAGAUGGAUCAUCG
rnacentral:ncRNA from 1 species